rnacentral:rRNA from 1 species
UUGGAGGGCAAGUCUGGUGCCAGCAGCCGCGGUAAUUCCAGCUCCAAUAGCGUAUAUUAAAGUUGCUGCAGUUAAAAGCUCGUAGUUGAAUUUCGGGACCAUCAUGUCGGUCGUGCCUCGGUACGUACUGGUAUUGUUGGUUUCUCCCUUCUGACGAACCAUGAUGUCAUUUAUUUGGUGUUGUGGGGAAUCAGGACUGUUACUUUGAAAAAAUUAGAGUGUUUAAAGCAGGCUCACGCUUGAAUACAUUAGCAUGGAAUAAUGAAAUAGGACGUUUGAUUCUAUUUUGUUGGUUUCUAGGAUCGACGUAAUGAUUAAUAGGGAUAGUUGGGGGCAUUAGUAUUCAAUUGUCAGAGGUGAAAUUCUUGGAUUUAUUGAAGACUAACUACUGCGAAAGCAUUUGCCAAGGAUGUUUUCAUUAAUCAAGAACGAAAGUUAGGGGAUCGAAGACGAUCAGAUACUGUCAUAGUCUUAACCAUAAACUAUGCCGACUAGGGAUCGGAUGAUGUUAAUUUUUUAAUGACUCAUUCGGCGCCUUACGGGAAACCAAAGUGUUUGGGUUC